rnacentral:rRNA from 1 species
GACAGAGGGUGCAAACGUUGCUCGGAAUCACUGGGCGUAAAGGGCGCGUAGGCGGGAAUGUAAGUCGGGCGUGAAAUCCCUAGGCUCAACCUAGGAACUGCACUCGAAACUGCGUUUCUUGAGUAUCGGAGAGGAAAGCGGAAUUCCUGGUGUAGAGGUAAAAUUCGUAGAUAUCAGGAGGAACACCAGUGGCGAAGGCGGCUACCUGGACGGUGACUGACGCUGAGACGCGAAAGCGUGGGGAGCAAACAGG